CCUACGGGAGACAGCAGUGGGGGAUAUUGCACAAUGGGGGAAACUCUGAUGCAGCAACGCCGCGUGUGGGAAGAAGGUUUUCGGAUUGUAAACCACUGUUCUUGCUGAAGAUAAUGACGGUAACCAAGGAGAAAGCUCCGGCUAACUACGUGCCAGCAGCCGCGGUAAUACGUAGGGAGCAAGCGUUGUCCGGAUUUAUUGGGUUUAAAGGGUGCGUAGGCGGAUUUUUAAGUCAGCGGUAAAAUGUCUGGGCUCAACCCGGGCCGGCCGUUGAAACUGGGGAUCUUGAGUGGGCGAGAGGUAUGCGGAAUGCGUGGUGUAGCGGUGAAAUGCAUAGAUAUCACGCAGAACUCCGAUUGCGAAGGCAGCAUACCGGCGCCCGACUGACGCUGAGGCACGAAAGCGUGGGGAUCGAACAGGAUUAGAUAUCCUUGUAGUC
rnacentral:rRNA from 1 species